AUAAUUUUUCAACCGUCCAAGCCUUUACUCUGUCCUGCUUCCAAGUACCUAGACAAUCUCUGUGAGUCUUGCAUGAUUAUUUCUCAAAUCCUUGCCUAUCACUUGUGCCCAAAGGUGCUAUGUUUCAGGUUAGCAUCAAUACCCUUCCCUCAUCCUCUUCCUCUUUAAAGCAGCUUUGUCUUUGCCGAGAAUCUACUCACCUACUUCAGCUUCUGCAUUAAAUUCCACUGAUCCCUGCUUGAGACAGCAAUGCCCAAGAUUGAUCUUAAAGGGUAAUGGUAAGCAUGAUCAAAAGAUAACUGAAAAAACAGGCCCUGCCCCAAAGUAUUGUCUUUUUUUAGAUGUACAAUGUGGCAAAACUCCUAUUCAGAAAUGUAACACAUAAAACCUGUUAGAGCUAAAUUUACAUAGACACUUGGUAAAGAGACUGGGUAUAUGUAUGUUGUGUAAUAGUUACUACAUCUUCUUAAGAUAUAAAUUGUUAUCCCCAAUUAGUAGUUAAUGGAACAAAAGUUCAAAAACUUAACAUAAAUAAGAUACAGUACUGGCCGUAUCAUAUUUUAGUCUGUCUGGAUCUACUAUACAUAAGGCACUCUCCCUGUCAGAAUAGUGUCUAGAAGAACCUAGGGCAUCCUCAAGUUCAUUGUUUAGCUUACAUGUAAGCAAUGUUUGGCAUUGCUUAAGCACCUUUUCACUUCUAAAUAGUGUGUUCAUUCCGGCUUGGCCAAGGGUAGGGCAGAUGCAAGUGCUUUGUAGGCUGCUAGAUGGAGUGCAGGGGUAAAGCUGUGGCAUGAGCCACCUCUAACCCUUUGCCCUGCCAGGUAACAGGAAAUUAAAUCACUGUGACUUACUCAAGGCCAGAGGUUCAUUGACUAGGCCAAGGCACCUUUCCUUACUGUUUUUUAGCUUAAAGAUACCAUGAACACCACAAUGCCCUAUAGCCAGAACUCAAGAAUGUUUUCAGGUGAUGGAUAUGAGGUUUGUCCUUGGUGAGUGAGAUGUAUGUUGUGUCCAUCGGCUUUUGUCCACAUGUUUAAAACUCAUUUUCUAGUAUGACCUAAUCGUCAAUGUUUUCUGAUUUCACAUCUCUAGAAUUUAGGUAACCAACCCUGAGCUAAAUACUUCCUUGACUGUGAAGCUGCUUAGUAACACAGGACAAUCACUUUUUGUCAAGGUCUUUAGUUAAACAAUAUUGUUUUUCAUAUUAGGUACAGGAAAUAGUUACAGGACAUAGAAAGAAAAUAGAUCUUGGAGAGGAGUAUAUUUUCAAGCUAUUAUAGCCUAAUUUCUGUUCUCUGCAAAUUUAUGUCAAUCUGUGUGCAAAAUGAAUUCACUCCCACCCUGGCAUCUUCCAAAUCUCAACCUACCUCAACAUCAGUCAACAACUAUCUAGGUCUCACCUAAAGUCCCAUUGGUCCUUCUCUAAAGGGUCUGAGAUGAUUUAGAUUCAUCUCAACCACCAACACCCCAUGUGUUCAGGAUGCUGAGUAGGAUCACUCUUGGGGCAAGAGUCUUCUUUUGUCAAUUUUCAUGGCAUAAAGUCCUUAUUCAUGUACAUCUAGAUACCUCUGUACCUUCAAGGGAUUCAAAAUCCCCAAAAGCCUAUUUGGCUUUUCAAAAAACAACAAAACAAAACAAAAAACCAAAAAACAAAAAACAAAAAACAAACAAACACCAACAUUCAAGUUUGUUUCUUUAUUAAUUCGACUACAAGAAGAUGAAAGUUAAGCAUCUCCUGUAGAGAGUCAGCCUGAAAGGCUCAGCAUGUUGGUGGCUGUAAGGAAAGCUGUUCACAACCUAUGACUCAGUCACAGCAGCUUCAAUAUCUGACACUUCUACACACCAAUCCUGAAGAGUUUUCAAGUCCCUGUGCUUUUAGUUCAUUGUCUGCCUGGGGAGAGAUAAAGUAUUUUCAAUACACUGUUUGUUUUUCAGGGUCAAAGUUGCAUCAAAGUCCAUCAUAAGACAAGGACAUUGAGCAACAAUAUGACAGUGGAAUAUACAAGCUUAAAUGAAAAUAUUCAUUGUUUACUUGUGACAUUUCCAACAACUGGGAAGCACAGAGAUAAACAUAAGCCUUUCGUACGACACACAACUGCAUUUUCUUACUCGGACAGAAUCUUAUGUUACAACUGACUCAUCUGCUUAGUGACUGCUGAGUUUUUUAGAGAUUGUUUGGGAGAUGGUUCCUAAUUUCAGAGUCCUUAAAAAAAUGGAGCUAGCAAAGUAGCCCAGCAAGUAAAGUCCAUGCCUCCAAACCUAAGACCCCGAGUUUCAUUCCAGGAAUGCAUAUGGUGGAAGAGAAUUGACUCCCCAAGGUGGUUAUCCUCUGACCUUCCAGCAUGUACCAUGGCAUGCACAUGAGCACACACACACACACACACACACACAGAGAGAGAGAGAGAGAGAGAGAGAGAGAGAGAGAGAGAGAGAGAGAGAGACUCACAAAUAAACAAAUGCAUUUUAUUUAAUUUUUAAAAAACACAAAUCACUUGCAUAUUUGGCUUACGAGGUUAUAUAACAUCCAUGUAAGUGCUCCUUCUUUUCUAAUGUCAUUUUGAUAUCUGCACACCAUUUCCUUGUGUUGUGUAUCACUACUGCCUCUCUGUUUGACUUAGUUACUUUUCUGCUUUUACUUAGUAAUUGCUGUGAGAAAACCCCAUAGCCAAGACACCUUCUAGCCUUAUAGCUUUAUAGCUUUCUGGGGCUUAUUUGAGCAUAUGGUUCCAGAGGGGUAAGAGUCCAUUAUCAUCAUGGCAAGGAAGUGUGGCAGCAGGCAGACAUGAGUGGGUGCAUAGAGCAGCAAGCUGGAAGCUCACAUUUAAAAAUCCCAAGGAGGAAACAGAGAUAGCAAAAUGAGAAUGAUAUAUUGCUUUGAAACAUCAAGGCCUGCCCCUCCUAGCUGUGCAAGAUCAGGUGAAGAUGCACAAGAAAGUAUCAAGGAAGGGGAGAAGGGAGCAAGAAAUGGAGCUCUCAUGCCAUCCCCUGGACUGUGUUCCUCCAUAUAGAGGGAGUUGACAGUCUAGAAGUAUAUACAGGGUUACACCUCAGCAAAAUGUGGGGUAGGACCUACUGCUGAGAAAAGCUUGUCUAUCCUAUGCAUGUCUUCCUACUCCUGGUAUUUAAGAUUCCUAUUUAAAUCUUUAAUAGUUGAAAUCGUGCUUUAUUCUUUAACAAAUUGCCCUGUCAAAUUUUGUCAUUUGACACAUGAGGUGACAGCUCAUGGCUAUAAUCUCAGCACAGGGGAGGUCGAGGCAAAUGGGAAGCUGAGGCAAGUUUGAGGCUAGCCUAGACUACAGACAGAAAUUCUAUCUCAAAAAAGUGAAGAAAAAAAAAAGCAAGUCUUUUGUAAGUCACUUUUCUUCAUCACUACACCCUCCCAGCCUUUCUCCUCUAUUUACCGUUAGGAUCUCUUCUCAGCUUCCUUUCCGUGCAUGUGGACACAGAAGUAAAUAAUGUGCAGAGGUGGCAUGUCCCAAACCCCAGGACACAAGGACAAAAAUAGCUGAAGGACAUUUUGUUGACCCACAAAGCUCUAAAUGUGGCACUCUGUAAACAUUCGUCCUCCAAUGACACUCAUUUGUGCUUCACAGAUAGAAUCUGCAGUGUGUGUGUGUGUGUGUGUGAGAGAGAGAGAGAGAGAGAGAGAGAGAGAGAGAGAGACCCAUGCCCCCUUGCUGACCUGAGGUGCCCAGAAGGGUGCUCUAUAGGCAUUGUCCCCAAAGGAACAAAGCAGCCAUCAUCUCUUUAUACAAGUUCAAAAUAGAAGUGCCCUUUGCAGUACUGUUUGAUGUUGUAAAGCUCCUGCCUGUUGUCUAACUGACUGUAACCACUGGCUCGCUCCUCAAAAUAUGGCUCUCUAGGUUUCUCUGAGUCCUUUGCUCACACACAGCCUGCUACAUUUUUUUCUAAGGUUGGAUCACAUUUAAUUUUCGUGUUUGUUUUAAACUAAAUUUAGUACCGUGUGUCUCAAUUCUUAAUGGUGUCUGUAACAACUCCCAAAUUAGAAGUCUCAUCAAACUUCGCCAGCAAUGUGUUGUUCCUUUGCUUUUUUUCAAAUCAUCUCACAGUGUUAACAUAAUAACUAAUAUUUGCACAGUGCCUUGCAGUUUACAAAAUACUUUCCAACUUAUCAUCUCCCAAAAGGAGAGACUAUUAGGAACUCUGUUCCAGUGCAGAUAAAGCCUUAAAGACCUUAACUGGCUUCUGACGAGGAGGCAUGUCAAUAGUCCAAGAGUUGCCUGGCACCUACUAAGGCCCUGGGUUCAAUUCUCAGUAUAACUUUCUUCCACAAAAACAUGUUAGGGAGUUUGUGUUUGUCAAAGGCUGUGCUGAUACAGAUUUUAAAUGAAAGCUGGUCACAUAUCUCCAGACACCUCAAAGUUCAUAACACAGUAUCUCCUUCUGUUUUGUCCCUCCUGUUUAUUGAUGAUAAACAUAAUGGUUGUAGUUUAACAAGUCAUAAAACAAAGCUUAGUAGUUUAAAAAAAUGUUUUGGAAAGCCAAACAUAUGCUUUGGCCAACAUGAAAUCAAGAUACAAAAUUAGAGCCAUGAACUUUUACAGAUACUAAUAACUAACAAUUCUUAUUUAUAAUGUACCACAUAGUCCAUAAAAAGUACUUUCCAAUCAUUCUGCUAUAGUUAGUAAUACGAACGUAGUAUGUAUACACAUCAUCUUUAUUUUCUAAGUGAGAAACUUAGUUGGAAGAAGCUAUGCAACUCACUUGAGUUCCAAGCGGUGGAAUGGGGGCUUGAACCCAGUACACAUGAAUCCAGUGAACCUACCCUUAGCUACUUAGUUGUUGAGAUAAGAAGGCUGGCUCUAUCAUCAAAUUUCAAUUAGAACUUCAGCUUUUUAUUAUGGAUGGCAUGGAUGGGAAAUAUUUUUACUCUCUGUAAUUUAGUUUUCUUUUUUUGUAAAAUGAUAAAGCAUCUUCCAAACAGCAGUGCUCAGUGAGUAAUUAAUAGAUUUCUGUGAGCAUUCUACUGAUAUUGGCUCAUAGUGUGUAGUUUUGUCUACACUGCUUUACGUUCCCAGUGAGCCUCAUGCACACACCUGCCCAGGAUGCAUGCGUGCAUCAUCAAAGCAUCAGAACCAGUUCCCUACACUGACGGCCCUUUAUCUCUUUAUUUCUGGGAUAUGUACUGAGUACCUGCUAUGUGUAUCAUACUCUGUUUCUCUACUCACUUGGUUUAUAGAAGCCCCCCCCCCACUGCCCCAGGCAUCCAAGGCUGUCCAGCCACACUUCCUUCUUCCCUGUACUAAAACAACUAUAUCCAUAUAUGAAGGCAGACCUGCUCUUUCUAUCUUAGUCUUGUUGCUGUUUCAAAUGAAGUUGUGCAGCAUCAUUUGUUUGGAGCAUAAAUACUCUACGUUGUCCUGGUAUCUUUUCAUCCAAAAUGUCCAAAAUUGUGUAUGUUGUAGGAGUCCUCCAGCAUGUUAUUAUUACAUCAGUUUUCACUACAGUCACCUCCCACCUACAUGACAUUAUUUUAAAUUAGAGCCUUCCCAUAAAGGACAACUCUUUUUCUGAUCCAUCUUCUUUCCUGCUGAUAGACUGGUCCAUGAUCCAGUCCCUUUAGCGCUGGGUAACGGUGCUUGAUAGUUCUCUACAUAUACUGGGAUUUGUGUUCAGUUACCUUGUCUUCCUCAAGGAUUCAUUGUCCUUCUCCAAUACUUUAACUUUCUCUUUCCUCAGUUCUUAAAUUUAAUCAGGAAAACUUUCACUCCACUAUUGAUCUACAGUGGUUUGGUAAAACACUUCUGUGAGACCUCUUAGAAAAGGCAGCAUUUUAUGUACAAUAUUGUCACUUAAAUUGCAUUUCUCAGUGAAUAUGGCCAUAAACCAAAACUCUUAGCUCAAUGUCCAGCCCAACACCAUCACAGUAAAACAAAUUUGAAAUUUCUUUAAUUGGAGCAGAUGUGUUAUGAUCUGAGUAUUUCUGUAAACUCAAGCCAUACAACCAAUGUAGCCAAAAUUAGAAUACAUUGACAGGCAUAAAAUUAUAAAUUGGACCCAUGGAUGAGCUUUAUUGGUAUUGUAAAAUAUUUUGUUCAGUCUUGCCAUCAUUUUUUUUUCAUUUUGAGGCACCACAUUAUCAAUACAGUAAGAGCUGUGAGUGGCACUGACAAAUUAGGAGUUGAAUCUAUUUGGUUUCAUGGUCCUCGCUCCAAAUAAUCACAGCCUUAAACUUUUAGCAGAUGACUGGAAUUAAGUCCUGGUGAGCUUUUUCGAUACUGAUUGAGUCACUAUAUACUAUGUAGACCAUUGGCAAAGAUUUAACUUCACCUGGAAAUAAGUUAGUGGAUGAAAAGUGUGCAUCUGAGAGUGAUGUGUUUAUAACAUUGGUACAAUAACUGCUUCCCUAGCUUAGUCCUAAGAGGCUCUACAUAGAACCAAAGCCUUGGUUAGUUUGGUGGUAAACUUAUUACCAAAUAAGGGAACAAUGCAAUACAUUAGUUUCAUUGCAUUACUCUGUGUAAGGAGAACACAAGUUUUCAUGGGAGGAGCAGCGCAUAUGUGUGGUACUGGUCCUUUGUUGGCAUGUAAGGAAAAAAUCUUUCAUACAUCAGUGUUGAUAAUCAUUGUAUUAUAGUGUUUAUCACUGUCCUUAAAUAAUUGAGAGAAACAAGUUAAGAGAGGAAGGAUCAUGAUUUUAGAGAUUUUCGUGCAGGGUCAACUGACUGCUGUUUCUGGGUCAUGGUGACACAGAGCUUCACAUAGAAUGUAGCACAUAUCAGAGCAAAUAUGUUCAUCUCUAACUGCCAGGAAAAAAGGCAGGAAGGGUAAGAAGGGUUCAAGUAAGAUAUACCAUUCAAAUUUCUCCCCCUCUCUCCCUUUCUCUUUCUCUUUUUCCCUCUCCCUCUCUUUCUCUUUCCCCCUUACCCUCACCUCUCUCUCAAACAUGCACACACACACACACACACACACACACACACACACACACACACAAAUCCACAGAGAGAAAGAGUUAUUCCCACUACGUGUCUUCCACACUUUCUACUCUCCCCAAUAGUUUACCCCAAGUUUGACUCCAUCCACGGAUUACACCAUUGAUUAAGUACUGUUCUCCUAAUCUGAUAAUCUCUAAAAUAGGCUCACAGACACACACUUAGAGGUGUGCUCCAUUAAUCUCCUAGGCAUUUCUCGCUCCCAUCCAAUUUAUCAUGAAGAUUAAAUAUCAAAAUAAUGAAACGGAAAGGAAAAGAACAGGCAACAUUCUUUUUGAGGUUUAUAAAAUUAUACUGCAACAGUGAACACCUUUCGACUGUGUGUCUGUCAGGCUGGUGCAAAGCCCUUUAAUUGUGACCGUUUUAUUCCUCACAUUUUGUGUGAUAGACACUGUUUGUAUUUGAAUUUCACACUUGAGGAAAGUGAGGUAAAGAAUUUUUUUCACAGCUAGUCUGAAAAGAAUAGUCAGCAUCUAUUGUCGGAGGAUUCACCUGUGACCCUAAGAAGACAGCUGAGGAGAGCUGACGAAGCUAGUAUGAGGGUGACCUCCAUUUUUGUGAUGGUGAGGGACCUCGAAAGGUGGACCACUUGUGUUUUCAUGUUCACUUACACAGAUGGAACUGAUAUAGUUCUCUUGCAGGCUGCCUAGUCCCAGUUUGCUCUUAAAGUCACCUCUUCUUCGUUCCUUAUUCAAGUGGUUUCUGACUAUUUUAAAGCAACAAAAUGAAUGCAGUUUGAUUGCUCACCAGGCAUAUCAGACGCAUCAUCCUCAUUUCACACACUAGCACUAGCUGGGGGGUGGGGGCACAGGUGGGGUUCAGAGGAGUCAAAUGGACAAAGCUGCUGGUUCCCUUCCUAGGGGAACUCUAACCUUUGGAUUUACUUGCCAUGAAACUUGCUCCCCAAAGACCUCCAUAUUUGGAUCAGGUUUCCACAAAUGUGUUGGUAGAGAUGUGUUGUGUGUAAUUUUACACUCUACCGACCUUUACUCUCCAGGAGGUGACCUCGCUACCUGCCCCCUCCCAGCUUCCCUUAAAUCCUUCGAUAAAAAACACAGACACACAGUUUUUCAAUUUUAACUUGCCUUCUUGACACAAUUGCUGGCACUGUCUCCCUCCUGGAAAAGCAUGCCCUCAUCAGUUUCUUAUCUCCAUCUCUCCCACCUGACUUAAAUUUCAGUUGCUGAACUCCCCUGCCCACCUGCCUAUAGGAGUGGUCUAUGUGGCCACUCCAUUUUGAGAUUUCACAUGGUUGUCUCCUCUCUCUAACACAUGGCAAACUCCAUUCUCUCCUUCCUUGCAUCUCUUUUUCCUCCAGGGACCUGGAAGUCCUGCCUAUACUUUCUGCCCAUCAAUUGGCCCAUGGCUUUCUUUACUGACAGAUCAAGAACCAAUUGAGAAACAGGACCUUAAUAUCAGAACUGCCCCCUUCAGAGAUGUUUCAUAGUCAUUUCUCCGGUGAUUUAAAAAUCUUCUGUGCUGAAGACAUGAUAUGUAAUGUAAUACAUGACAGCCCAGAGCAUACUGGCGUCAUUGAACUGAAUUCAGUUGAAUGUCAAAGGCAUCCUGCCAUGCUUCGAUUUUGACUAAUAUUACUUAGCUUCUAAUUUCAGUAAAGUGAGAAUUGGGCAGUUUAAACUGAAGAACAAAGAAUGAAUCCCAGAGAAGACCCAAGGCUGUUCAGGAUCAUGACACCCUCUCCCACCACACUCCUCCUCUACGAAGGCAGGCAGCCACCCUCCCCCAUUACAAAGGCUGGCAAUUGAACAAAAGUGUUUCCUGAUAUCCCAGAGUCAUGUUUCUGUUUCUGUGAAUUGUCAGUUGCUAUAGAGAGUCAGAAAAUCUAGUCCAGGCAAUGUUCUAGAAGAUACUCCCUAGUCAGAUUUGUAGAAUAAAUUAAUCAGGAAGCAAACAUACGUUGGUCCAGAGACUAUGGAUCCUAACGGUGAUGUACAAUUUCUUAAAAAACAGUGGUGGUCUUUGAUCUCAUUUCCUUGCAGUUUAUAAGUUUGUUCCUUGUGGCUGCUACUGUAACUUGAAGUUAAAGUAAUUUCUUUCCAGUUCCAGCCCAUUAUUGCUCUAAGGCAAGAACAAUUUUUCAGUUGCUGUGAACAUGCCCUGCAUGCCUAGGAACAUUUCCUCAGACAGCAAAAUAUGAAUGAGGAAGAGCUCUACACACCAUGUGACUCUUUGGCUGAGAAAUCACGAUCAUAAUCCAUUUUACCGGAGGCACACAAAGACGUAAAGAACAUCUCUGUAGCUAUGGGGUCAUGUUUUUUAAAGUUCUCAGAUGUGGAUCAGAAGGAACAGAGAAUAGACUCUGAGCAGUUCUCUUUUAAAGUAACUUUGUAACAAUCUAGCAAUCCAUUUCUCCAAGAUCAUUCCUGGAUUUUAUAUCUGCUAAAUCAAAUAGAGGAUUUAAGGUGGAAGAUAAAGGGCUUGCUCAAAGUCAGCUGACUUUCUAAAAGUCAUAUCUUCUCUGGGUCUUUCAUUCCUAUAAUUUUUCGCAUGUGUAUGCCCAUAUACAUUUAUAAUAUAUGUGUGUGUGAGAGUGUAUUGUGUAUGUGUGUAUGUGUGUAUGCUAUCCAUCUUUGUUUGCUUUUCACUUUUCUUCAAACACAUCAUUCAUGACUGCCAUUUUUCUGCCUCUUCUCAUUUUUAACACAUUCAGUAUUUUUAUUUCCCUUUCUGCUUUGCUUGGGCUGCCAGCAUCUCACUCCAUUCAAGUAACUGGAUUUGUGCAUGGUUUUAUAUUUUUAAACAAUCACUCUAACAAUAUCCCAACUGUCUCUGGAGGAGGGAAUUCAAUCUUAAAUAUAAAUCAACCUUAGCCAAGUGAAAGCGUCUUCAAGUAAGGCAUUCAAUCCCCUUUCUGAUUUCCAAACACCAUGCUGAGAAAUAGCUGAGACCAGCUACAGAGAAUAUGGCAAGGGGAAAAAAUGACAGUAUGAAAAGCCCCUGGUUAUAUCAAAUUUUGCUUUUUUUAUUACUUUGGGCUUGCCAAUAAAUCUGAGAGUCAUGCCUUUUUAAUAUGUUUCCUGGGUCUCUGCUAACUCCAACAUUUGCGAGAUGAAAUUCCAGUAGACUCUUUAGAGUUCUCUUGCUUCUACAGCAGCUGAACAUCUCAGUGGGUCAGCCACAGAGCAAGAACAAUGAAAGUAGCAAACUCCAAUAUGUUUCUUUCCUUCAUUCCUAGCUGCCAUAGGGACUAGAUGACGUUUGGUGUGCAGCAUAUAUUUGAGAAACAUUUCCAAAAGGGACAAAGCAUGUUGUGCAAAAGUAGGCAAACAAACAUUUUAUGUAUAGUUUUGUACAUAUAUACACAUAUAUAGAGAGAGAUUGAUACACAUACACAGAGAAAUAUAUAAGUAUAUACAUAUAUAUCAGUAAGAAGUAUAAAUGUAUUUAAAGAUAUGAAACUAAAAACUGUUUGACGUUCAAUUAAAAUCCCAGUCUGUCCAAAGUGUCUUAGACAUUUUUGCCUUAUUUAUGCUUAGAAAUAUUUGUUUUGAAGGAUAUGAAAAGAGAGGUAGUGGAGUGAGCCAAUGUGUAGGUGUGUAAGGACACUUACUCCACAACUAUAGGAAUCUGAGUUCUGAUCACAGCAAUCACAUUAAAGUAUGAGUAUAGCUGAACUUUCUUUUUACUUGCACACUUCAAAGGCUGAGACAAAAGUAUUACUGCUGUUUGCUGGCCACUAUCCUACCUUCAGUUUAACUGUAAAGCCUUGUCUCAAGAAAAGAAGGUAGAGAGUUAUAGAGCAAGACACUCCAUGUCUUCUUCUGGCCUCCAUAUGUGUGCAUGUACAAACACAGGUACAGGUACACAUGUUCACACACACACACACACACACACACACACACACACACAUAUAUAUAUAUAUAUAUAUAUAUAUAUAUAUAUAUAUAUAUAUAUAUAUAUACAAAGAGAGAAAAAUGAUGGGUAGGGUGUUUAAAUGAUUUGCAAAUGGUCCCCUAGUAAGUGCACACAAAGACCAAGAAGAAUAGGAGAAAAGACGAUAGAGAACUACAAGGUGUUAUUCCAAAGCCAUACUCAGAAGUUUGUAUUAUUCCCUGUAAUUGAUUGAUUAGACACCAAAGCAUGGCAGCGUCAAAAUGUGUCUCAAGCAAAAAGCUACUGUAUAAAAGCUCAAGAAUUUGAACUAAUUCCAACUGGUUUCAUAUCCUGCUACAUUUUUUCAUUAUGUAAAUACAUCUCUUGAAGCAUUCACAAGGGAAACUCAAAACCAAAAAGUGGUAGCCCUUCAACAAAAAAACUUCAUUAAAAAAUUAAGAAAUAAUAAGAAAAAUCCUUUAUAUAUACCAGAAUUUCUAGUCCUUCAAGGCACGAACAACAUGCCAAUAUGAUCUAAGGCAUGUGACUUUGUGAAAGGCAUCUUAAGAUGCUCUUCAACAUCUUGCUAUCACUGCAGCAUACACAGGACUCCCUCGAAUGAAUUAGGGGCACAAGAUAGCAGUGGUGAGGAAAAGAAGAGUGUGUCCUAAGCAUUGCAAGGCCAGCAAUGUAAUAAGCUCCAUCAUUCAGGCAGAAUUAAACUGCUGUUGAGCUGGAUUCAUAAAUUCAAAAGAUUGCAGGAACUCAGUGAGAGUAAACUCCAGAGGUUAGGACUCUAUAGAAUUCAACCAGUGAACUCAUUGUUAUAAAUUCCUUGUCCCAAAGCAGUUAAUGAUGGAUAUUUUUUCCUUUGUUGAAAGUGCUUCCAUAGAACAGAGAUUAAAAAUACCAAAGUUAUUUUCUUCUUUAACUCUUUUGAUGUAGCUGUCCUCACAAAGUCAGUUUUUAUAAGGCAAAAGAAAGUAUGAGGUCAAAGGUUCUUAGCUUCACUGAAAAUGUACUUUGUGCAUUUGGCUGGCUUCCUUACCUGAAAAAUGGGCUGGGACUUCUUUAAUUUCUGUGAAACAGAUGAUGAAAUUGUGGCAAAAUGGCAUGUUAUAAUUUCCUGAGUCAUAUCAGGAACACACACACACAUACGCACACCACCACCACCACCACCACCACCACCAACAACAACAAAAUUCCACAUUAAACACAGAUGUUUGACUGCAGAGGCUAGAGCUCUGAAAUAUUGAAUGAGUUAAUAGUUGGUCAAAUGAGUAUAUUCAGUGGAAGUGUAUUAGAAGAGAAACACACUGUUUCAACUCUACAUCUUACAGUUUUACAAAGAUACAGAUAAAUUAGAAUAUUCUUAGCAAAAGGCAACUCAAAUGUCAGAGGACUCACAACUACUUCAGUUAAAGAAGGACCUUGAUGACUAGCAACACUCAACCUGGAGAAGAAAAUUCUUACUACCUGGAUGCCUUAAGAUGUUUAAAGAGCUAUACUGGAGGAAAUGAGGCAGAGAAUGGAGGGCCCUGCAAGAGAUUGUCUACAAGGUUCUUUGACAGGCUCUUUUUAUGAUAUAUCCCUCAGGACUCCUAAGAAGUGGAGCCAUUGGGCAUGACUUGUGAGAUGAGCAGGAGAUUGAAUUUUCUCUUAGUGCAAUCUGAUGGUAGCUGUUGUAACUUAGAUUUAACUCAUCCACGGGGAUCCUGGUUUAGAUAAGAAAGAAAGAAAGAAAGAAAGAAAGAAAGAAAGAAAGAAAGAAAGAAAGAAAGAAAGAAAGAAAGGAAGGAAGGAAGGAAGGAAGGAAGGAAGAAAACACUGAGCAGUUGUUGGAAGGAAAUUUGAAUAUGGAAGUGUGCACAUGGAACUAAAUGCCUUUCCCAGACCCAAGAGUCAAUACAUAAAUGCUUCAUGAGUACACCGCAAAAUAAUGUGCUAAGAUUUCUCAGGCAAUGAAAACCCAUGUUUCCUCUUCUCCUCCUGGGAAACUGUAUAAGUAGUAUCAAUGAGAAUAGCCCCAGAGGCUCAUGUGGUCGAGUUCUCUGUUCGUGUAACUCUUUCAGAAGGAUUAGGUCCUUUCUGGUGGUUCUCAAUCUCACCAAUGCUGGGACUCUUUAACACAGUUCCUCAUACUAUGCUGACCCCCAACCAAAUUAUUUUCACUCCUACUUCAUAACUGUAAUUUUGCUACUGUUAUGAACUGUAAUGUAGAUUUCUUUGUUUUCCAAUGGUCUUAUGUGACCCCUGUGAAAGGGCCAUCCCAAAAGACUCAUAAUUCACAGGUUGAGAAACACCAGAUUUAGGAAAUGUGGCCUUGUUGGAAGAGGUGUGUUACUGGAGAUGGGCUUUGAGGGUCUGAAAAGCCUCUCUCUCUCUCUCUCUCUCUCUCUCUCUCUCUCUCUCUCUCUCUCUCUCUCUCUCUCCCUCCCUCCCUCUCUCUCUCUCUCUCUCUCCCUCUCUCCCUUCCUUCCUCCCUCCCUCCCUCCUUCUCUGUGUAUGUCCUUCUGUCUGUCUGUCUGUCUGUCUGUCUAUGCAGGUGUCUGUCUCCUGCCUAUGGAUGCAGAUGUAAAGCUCCCAAGUAUUGCUCCAGUACCAUGCCUGCCUGCCUGCCUCCUACUAGACUCCCUAUCAUAAUGAUCAUGACCUCCAACCCUCUGAAACUGUGAACUCCAGUGAAUGUUUUAUUAUACAAGUUUUAUAACUUGGUGUCUUAUAGUAAUAGGAAAGUAACUAAGACAACCUCCUAAGGGAAAUAAAGGUGAUGAGAGAUGACUGUGUAAGGCCAACUACAUCAGCCUUUCAGCUCUGCAAUGGGGUUCUAAAAUGGUAGACACAGGCAGGACUGUUGGGAAAUAAAUGCAAGAAUUCAAGAGACAGCACAUAACAAAAUGUCUUGAAUGAAAAAAAUUUGUUGAAGUUAUAAGAAGUAUAACAAGUGGGAAAUGCAAACAGUUCUAAUUACUAGAGAAUCUUUCUUGGCUAAAUGUCAUUGUGCAGCUAUCUAUGGAGUGGGUCGAUGAGUAUAGAACUUGAAUCAAUUAGUUGAAAUAUCAAAAUCAUUUUUAAAAUGAAGUGAAGUCAGUCUUAAUGGCAAAUACGAUGAGAAGGUGUAACCAGUUGAGAAAAGUCACAGGAGGCAGAAUUGGUUGCAACUUCAACUUUUAUUGAAAUGAUCUUCCCUGCAGUGAACAGCAGACAUAGUUUUAAGAGGUCACCACAGCCACAUUUUUCUUUUCAUUGUUCCUCUUUUUGUCUCAGAUACCACCAGACUAACAUCAUCUGUAUGGGGCACAUACACAUGGAUGAACAAACAAUAGUUGUUGAGUGUUCUACCCAGAUCACAGUUAACCUCCAUCUGAGAUAACUAGUAACUCCUAAGGUUUCUUGGCUUUUCAAAAGAACUUCACAUUUUUAUUGGAUGGGUUGUAUGAUUUUCAUUGUGAAACUGGCUGUUUUCUAUAUUUGAAAGCAAGAAACAACUGAAUUUGAAAUUCCAUAUAUCCUGGAAAUCCCCUGUUUGCUGACACACAGUAUCUUUCUGAGUUCCCCCCGGAUAUGGAUUGAAAUGUACAACUAUAAAGACAGCAGAAUAAACAGCCAUUCCCUUAUGAACAGACUUGAAGUGUUCUGUCUCCCAACUCUAUUCUCUAGUACUUUUCAAUUACACAGAGAUUAACUUCAGUCCAAAUUCUAACCCCCACACCAUUCUUGCUCAAGAUGAGAUAUAUCCUUUCAACUUCCUAUGCCAAUAACAACACAGUGUGCAUGGAAAAGGAUAAACUACACAUGUUUCUAGUCCAUGCUAUGAAAUAAGGAGAUGUUUCUAAUAGAAUUGUUGAUAUUAACUUUCUCCAAGUAACAGUCAUUUCUAAAUCCCAACUCCUGAAAGGCUUCCAAAAUUUCAGGAUUAAUACCUAUCAUCAAAGAUACCAAACAUAGCUACAAAAUGUAGUCACUUACUUUGCUCAAAAGAUAGCAUGGGAAAAGGUAAAUGAAGACCAAAAUCAACAUUUGUCUGCUGUUCCAAGGUCAAAGACAUUUAUGGAAGCUGCUAUGUGAAGAACUAUACUUUGUCACUUAAUCCUGCAUUGAAAAAAAGUAUAAGACAUUACUUGUAUUCUCAUCAACUACAUAUUUUCUAUGUAUUUAUAAUUUAACUUACACCUUUGUAAAGGUUACACAAAUUUAUCUCCUCAUAGGGAUUUUCUCUAAUACAGACCUGUUUUCACAUCUUAGCCUCUAUCUCAACAGACUUCCAGCUUCCCAUAAUUCUGAAAAUUAGUCCAUAGUAGAUAGAUAAGUACAGAUACUUUUCAAGUUUCAAUUGGGUUCCACCCAAUAACUCCAGCAAUAGUUAAACUCAUCAUGGCAUAAAACUGAUAGGUGUUCAAGACACAUAACCCUGCACCCUCGCACCUUACAAUGGAGUGAACAUGUAGAAUCAUUGUCUGCCAUCUUGACCAUGUGUCUAACUGAAAGGUGCAGCUCUCUUAUCAUAUAUUUCUAUCCCAGGAAAGUCCCAUAAUUUAAAAAUAUGUUUUUUUAAAAUGGAUGUAAAUUGUGAGCCAUUAUACAAAUGAGGAAUUCUAAGUUGAACCCUCAUCUGUUGGACAGUAUUUGUUGAACACAGGAAUUAAUGAAUGGUGAGGCAACUUAUUUUACUAACAACCACUUUGCUCUAAAGCAGUUUACAGUUUGAACCUACAAAGCAGAACAUUGUAUCCCACUCAAAUUGGGACAAUUAGAAAACAUUUAUUGGUUUCCAAAAGAGCCCACUUUUGCAAUACUGAGCCUAGAUAGUACCUAUAGCUUUUUGAAUCUGAGGCAGAAAGUGAAGCAUACGUUAAGUCCAGAUUUUCAAAGUUUGUUGGCCCAUUGCUCUUAAGAAAUGUUAGUACAUACCUCCUGUGGUCACCAAUUAAGCCAAUAUCUUUAUGUGAUGCUUCAACAGAGUGUUGGUUUUGACCUGAAUCCAAAAGAAUACUGAAAAGGAAACCAACUAUUUAAACUUUUAUUUUAUUCAAUCAAACAUGACAAGUAAACUGUUAGUAUUAAAAGAUGAUAAAGAACAGCUUUGUCAUGUUUUUGUACUGUGUAAAGGUUUUGCAGGAAUGGCCCCACAAAUAGGUUUUUUUUUUUUCAAAAGUCAAGAAUAUAAAUAUCUUUCUUAAAAUCGUCCUUUCAAUAUUAGUAAAGGAACAAAUAAGACCCAUCUUUAAUAGUCAAUAAAAUCUCAUUACUAUAAUUUAGCAAAUAAUAUAAUUUCUACAAAAAGAUCAUAGACAAUGAAACAUAUUUUAGUCUCAUGCUAUCAUCACAGUCUGGCUUCCAAGUGGAGACCUCACCCCUGUUACACAGCUACUCACACCUCAUUCUCUUGGCAUGCACAGUCAUGGCAUCUUGACUUCUAUUACCACCUCAGCUGAUGAAGUUGAUAAUUCCUUCAAGUUCUGGGAGGACCUCCCUCCUACCCUGUUCCAGAUUCCUAUGAUUCAGUGGGUAAGCAAGUGUCCCAGCCAAGACAAUGAGAAUAGAUCACAAGAUUUGGGAAGAGGCAUCUCUGCAUUUUGGGGGUGGAAUGCAUCUGGGACUGUGCUUGCUUGUCUCUCACUGUCAUAGACAAGGUCCUCUAUGUCCCUUAAUUGUUAGUAGUCAGAUUGAUUACAUGGGUGAGAUGAUGCUACAGAGGUGGUGCACAGGUGCAGAAAUAAAAAAAAAA